rnacentral:rRNA from 1 species
UACAGAGGUCCCGAGCGUUGUUCGGAUUCACUGGGCGUAAAGGGUGCGUAGGUGGUGAGGUAAGUCGGAUGUGAAAUCUCCGGGCUCAACCCGGAAAUGGCAUUGGAAACUACCUUGCUGGAGGAUUUGAGGGGGGAUUGGAAUACUUGGUAUAGCAGUGAAAUGCGUAGAUAUCAAGUGGAACACCAGUGGCGAAGGCGAAUCCCUGGAAAAUACCUGACACUGAGGCACGAAAGCUAGGGGAGCAAACAGG